UACGAAGGGUGCAAGCGUUACUCGGAAUUACUGGGCGUAAAGCGUGCGUAGGUGGUUUGUUAAGUCUGAUGUGAAAGCCCUGGGCUCAACCUGGGAAUUGCAUUGGAUACUGGCAGGCUAGAGUGCGGUAGAGGAUGGCGGAAUUCCCGGUGUAGCAGUGAAAUGCGUAGAGAUCGGGAGGAACAUCUGUGGCGAAGGCGGCCAUCUGGACCAGCACUGAC
rnacentral:rRNA from 1 species